UGGUAAAGUGCCAACCCUGUGCUACUAUCACAGUGAAAUAUCUUGAUUUCGGUUACACAACUAUGAUGCGAUAUCACUCUGUUUUUUAAACUCAGCAAAUCAGAAGAGAAGACCAAAUAGAAGCACUCACAGCACUGAACAAUACAACGGAAUGGACCAGAAACAGAGGAACGCAAGUUUUCCUCCCCCCCACACACACACCCAUCUCACAGGACCACAGGGAUCUAGAUGACUCAAAGAGCUAAAGAGAGCCAAAGGCCAACGGAACGGAACGAUUCAUGAGGCGCUGACUCACAAACCACUGCUUCCUCUCCACCACAUGCCUCUCAUAACUGCGCAGAUGACUGGUCAAGUUCCCACAGCACUGCAUGGGAGGGCAGUGAGGGGCCAGAGCUCAGAGGAGACACAUACUGACCCCUGACAGACAUCAGAGAGAGUGUGUGGGAGAGAGAGAUUGCAUUAAAGUAAACCGACAGAAACCAACCCAUGACAAGAAUGCAGAAUCAGUUCAGUGAUCUCCAACUAGAGCAGAUCUUCAGUUCAGCUGGAUCUCAAAUCCAUAACUACUGAACUUCCUGUGCUGGGCAGCAGAGAGUCUGAAAACAAACAAACUGGGGGAGGAGGAG
ensembl:lncRNA